rnacentral:rRNA from 1 species
AACGAACGCUGGCGGCAGGCUUAACACAUGCAAGUCGAACGCCCCGCAAGGGGAGUGGCAGACGGGUGAGUAACGCGUGGGAACAUACCCUUUUCUACGGAAUAGCUCUGGGAAACUGGAAUUAAUACCGUAUACGCCCUACGGGGGAAAGAUUUAUCGGGGAAGGAUUGGCCCGCGUUGGAUUAGCUAGUUGGCGGGGUAAAGGCCUACCAAGGCGACGAUCCAUAGCUGGUCUGAGAGGAUGAUCAGCCACAUUGGGACUGAGACACGGCCCAAACUCCUACGGGAAGCAGCAGUGGGGAAUAUUGGACAAUGGGCGCAAGCCUGAUCCAGCCAUGCCGCGUGAGUGAUGAAGGCCUUAGGGUUGUAAAGCUCUUUCACCGAUGAAGAUAAUGACGGUAGUCGGAGAAGAAGCCCCGGCUAACUUCGUGCCAGCAGCCGCCGUAA